GGCUGGUUAGCUCAGUUGGUUAGACUGUGGUACUAAUAAUGCCAAGGUCAUGGGUUCGAUCCCCAUAUGGGCCA